UCUGUAGGCGGUGUGGCAAGUCGGAAGUGAAAUCCCGGGGCUCAACCCCGGGGCUGCUCCCGAAACUGCCAUGCUUGAGUGCGGGAGAGGGGAGUGGAAUUGCCGGUGUAGCGGUGAAAUGCGUAGAUAUCGGCAGGAACACCGGAGGCGAAGGCGGCUCCCUGGACCGCAACUGACGCUGAGAGACGAAAGCUGGGGGAGCAAACA
rnacentral:rRNA from 1 species